rnacentral:misc_RNA from 1 species
UAACCACUCAAGCCUGUCUUGGUGUUGGGGAUUGCGAAUUUUGCAGCCCUAGAGUCCAGUAGCGUCACCUGCGGGUUCUAAGCGUAGUAAUUUCUCCUCGCUACAGAGCCUGCUGGUGGAUAGUGUAAAUCCAGUUAAUUCUGCGUGUCCUGCUAUUAAACCCCCAAUUUUAAAGG